UUUUUAUUUUUUUUUUAACUUUUUAUGAACAACGUAAGAAACAGCAUAUUCCCAUGAGAAUAUGCGAAUCGAUUCGCAGCUCAAGUCACUCAACAAACGAACCCAACACGAUAUGAUCAAACUUACUCACAUUCCUCAUCAUCCCCAGCUAGAAUUUUCAACCUCCAUCUUCAAUGCCAUGCCGAACUGCAUACCAUGGAUCACUCUGAUCAUUUUCUUGACUGUAACAGAAAUGGCGGUGGCACUGACUCAGUUUCCCAUUCCCACCACUCUAGAAGGCCCGUUCGUGCCUGCAACUCGGCGCUUCGAUCCAUCGCUUCGCAGAGGCAGUGAUGACUUGCCAAUGGACCAUCCCAGGCUCAAGAAGAACGUGACAUCAAAUUUCCCAGAACAGAUUGCCCUUGCUAUUUCUUCACCCACUGCAAUGUGGGUUUCUUGGGUUACUGGGGAUGCCCAGAUUGGUAAAACUGUGAGACCACUUGAUCCUUCAACAGUUGGGAGUGAGGUGAGGUAUGGGGAAGAAAGUGGCAAGUAUACGAGUGUGAAGAAAGGGGUUUCAGUUGUUUAUAGUCAAUUGUACCCUUUUGCUGGCCUCUUGAAUUACACCUCUGCCAUCAUUCAUCAUGUCAGGAUUGAUGGUCUUAAACCAGGUACGAAAUAUUAUUACAAGUGUGGGGAUAGUUCUAUCCCUGCUAUGAGUCAAGAGCAAGCCCUUGAAACUUUACCAGAGCCUGGCGAAAACACAUAUCCUCGUCGAAUAGCUGUCGUUGGAGAUUUGGGCCUCACUAGCAAUACCAGUACAACCAUUGAUCAUUUAAUCCAGAAUGAUCCUUCAAUGAUUUUAAUGGUUGGGGACUUAUGUUAUGCAAACCAGUACCGUACGACUGGUGGGAAAGGAGCUUCAUGCUUUUCAUGUGCAUUCCCAGAUGCACCUAUCAGAGAAACAUAUCAGCCCCGCUGGGAUGGGUGGGGAAGGUUCAUGGAACCUUUAACCUCGAGAGUUCCUAUGAUGGUUAUUGAGGGCAACCAUGAGAUUGAGCCCCAAGUUUCUGGAAUCACUUUCGAAUCCUAUUUGACAAGAUUUGCAGUGCCAUCAGAUGAAUCCGGCUCUAAAAGUAACUUCUACUAUUCUUUUGAUGCUGGAGGAGUACAUUUUAUCAUGUUGGGAGCAUAUAUUGACUACAAUGCUACUGGUGCUCAAUAUGCUUGGCUUAAAGAUGAUCUACAUCGAGUAGACCGUACAGUGACUCCCUGGCUCGUGGCAGCAUGGCACCCUCCUUGGUAUAACAGCUAUUCUUCUCACUAUCAGGAAUUUGAAUGCAUGAGACAAGAAAUGGAAGCACUUCUUUAUCAAUACGGUGUUGAUAUUGUUUUUUCUGGUCAUGUGCAUGCCUACGAACGGAUGAAUAGAGUAUAUAACUAUACGUUGGAUCCGUGCGGGCCUCUUUACAUAACAGUUGGAGAUGGUGGAAAUAUUGAAGAAGUUGAUGUUGAUUUCGCUGAUGACCCUGGAAAGUGUCCUUCAGCUGGAGACAACACACCGGAGUUUGGAGGGGUAUGCCAUUUGAACUUUUCUUCAGGGCCUGCUAAAGGCAACUUUUGUUGGAGCAAACAGCCGGAGUGGAGUGCUUUUAGAGAAAGCAGCUUUGGGCAUGGAAUUCUUGAGGUUGUGAAUUCUACUUAUGCUCUAUGGACUUGGCAUCGGAAUCAAGAUACGUAUAAGGAAGAUAGCCAUGGUGAUCAAGUAUACAUUGUGCGACAACCUGAACUGUGCUCACGGUCUGCAAAGCCCUUGGUUUCCCCCUCUGCGCCCUCCCUCUCUGCUGCAUUGCACUCUCUGGUGCUCUCUCUAUCCUUGCCACUCUUUUGAUACUGCUGCUGGAGGAGGGAGGGGGUUGGUAUUGAAGACAAUUAAAAAUUGGCUGCGGAAAUCAAACACAAGACUAGACCUCAAAUGCAAAGAAGAAGGCUCUUGAACUAAUCGAGGUGGCUUUUAACCUCCUGCAUGGAGCUAUCUUGUAUCUGUCAAUCUAUGCGAGGUCCAAAAAGAAGUAUGGAUGGUGGGCGUGAUUGAUGAGAUUAAAAUGCCUAUUACGGAAACCAACCGAAACCCAAUAUUAGUUGACACAAAGACUCGUGUAAAAGAUACACUUCCUGCUGAACCGCAACGAAGAAAUGGAAGGUAUGCACCUUUAUUAGCUUCUGUUUAGGCUGAUGUUUUGUUGCCAUUGAUGAGGAAAUGCACCAGAAUGAAGUGCGGAGUCUGCGGACUAUACUAAUACACCAAGUUAGAGAAAAGCAGUAGCAUUGGUGAUGUUUCAAUCAACAUCGUCAGUAAGUGUACAAAGAAGCACAAUUCUUGGAGUUACUUCUUUGGGGUAAUUGCUGUGUUGGUUGUGCCAUGAAUGUAUCGUUCAUGUUGUAUCAUAGCCAUUGUUUGAAUCAAUUGUUGUAAGUUAUUCUUUAGACGAAAUCGUUAAACAGGAGUUGUAAAAUUCAAUUGUUUUGUAUGGAAAGCUACGCUCAAAGUGCAAAGGAUGUCUCUCUAUCAAAUUUAGCAAAGUCAUAUUGUGAUGUUACAUAUGUAUGUUAAAAUUGGGAUGAAUGAAUAUGGUAUUAUUCAUGAA